UGGCUUAAAAGCUGUCGUUUUAAAAUUUCCUAAACCACCCUAAAAGAAACUGACGUCUCUACCAUAUCAAAGUCUAAACCUUUAACCCCAAAUCGAAGCCAUACAUCCCGGUGGUUUGGUCUUUCCAUCUUUAUGCAAUUUGCACUUCUCAUCCCAGUGACUGGACUAUCUUUAGGGGUUUUGGUGAAGUUUUUCUUGAGAUUGACUGUGGAAGGAGCACGGUGGUGAUUGAAAAUAAAAAUUAUGUCCGACGGCUCAAUCAAAAUUUUAACAUAAGACAGCAGCGCAGCCACUUGAAUUUUUGAGCUUGCGAAAGUCAAUCAUUUCACAUGGUUACAGGUUAGUCUCCUUCUCUCUCGUGAAGUUGUGUCUUCACUUUUGAAAGGAUUUACCUUUCUCUAUGGGGCGACUGAUCAUAUGCGGUCAACAAGGCCAAUGAGUUUUCCUGAGGAUCCUUUGCGAACCCCAUGACUGGUAGUGGUACGUUUGAAUUUACUGGUUUUAUUUAGAAUACAUGGAAUGAUCUAAUCUUUGAUUACUCUGUCAGACGUUAAAACUUUUGAUUCUUAAGCUUAUGCUUUUCCAAGUUAACUCUCAACCCCCUUCAUUUGUUCUAUUUCAACAUGAGCUAGACACAACAACUUAACGUGUAUUUGUGUUUUCCUCGAUAUAUUCGUGCAGCCAUCAGCUACUCUGUAUAUUUAUUUAUUUUCCCAUUCCAGUUCCACAAUUUUGCUUGGAAGUUUGAAGCUCUGUCUCAGUCAUCAUGUCAGCUUUAAGCUUCUCAUCUCAAGUCAACUAAAGCUCGCUCUUCUUCAUCUUUAAGGGAAUGUUCCUAAUAGAUAACAAUAUGCAUCUCAUUUAUUUAACCUUUCUCUCUUUAGCUUAGUAAGUUGAUGGGUUAAGUACUUAAGUGGUAUUGAGUUUGAGUUACUUUGUCACCAUCUGUGUUUUCCCCAGUGGGUUUUAUAUUUUUAUCGAAUAAAAUUGGCAGUAACAAAACAAA